rnacentral:rRNA from 1 species
AGUGAACGCUGGCGGUAGGCCUAACACAUGCAAGUCGAACGGCAGCACAGUAAGAGCUUGCUCUUACGGGUGGCGAGUGGCGGACGGGUGAGGAAUACAUCGGAAUCUACUUUUUCGUGGGGGAUAACGUAGGGAAACUUACGCUAAUACCGCAUACGACCUACGGGUGAAAGCAGGGGAUCUUCGGACCUUGCGCGAUUGAAUGAGCCGAUGUCGGAUUAGCUAGUUGGCGGGGUAAAGGCCCACCAAGUCGACGAUCCGUAGCUGGUCUGAGAGGAUGAUCCGCCACACUGGAACUGAGACACGGUCCAGACUCCUACGGGAGGCAGCAGUGGGGAAUAUUGGACAAUGGGCGCAAGCCUGAUCCAGCCAUACCGCGUGGGUGAAGAAGGCCUUCGGGUUGUAAAGCCCUUUUGUUGGGAAAGAAAAGCAGCAGGUUAAUACCCCGCUGUUCUGACGGUACCCAAAGAAUAAGCACCGGCUAACUUCGUG